UGAGACCGAUGCGCGAUUCCCGUCCUCUCGUUCGCUCUUCGCUCGGGUUUCGGCUCGGGUGUCGACGUUCGGGGCUAAAGGUCGGCGCGCUCCGCUUUGGUGACUCUGGAUAACUCACUGGUCGAUCGCACGGGCUUCCACGCCCGGCGACGGGUCCCCCGAGGGUCCGCCCUAUCAACU
rnacentral:rRNA from 1 species